rnacentral:tRNA from 1 species
GCCCCCAUGGCUUAGUGGUCUAGAGCAGAUGGCUGUUAACCAUCGGAUCGUCAGUUCAAAUCUGACUGGGGGCG